rnacentral:rRNA from 1 species
AUUGAACGCUAGCGGGAUGCUUUACACAUGCAAGUCGAACGGCAGCGCGAGGAAGCUUGCUUUCUUGGCGGCGAGUGGCGAACGGGUGAGUAAUGUAUCGGAACGUGCCCAGUAGCGGGGGAUAACUACGCGAAAGCGUGGCUAAUACCGCAUACGCCCUACGGGGGAAAGGGGGGGAUUCUUCGGAACCUCUCACUAUUGGAGCGGCCGAUAUCGGAUUAGCUAGUUGGUGGGGUAAAGGCCUACCAAGGCGACGAUCCGUAGCUGGUUUGAGAGGACGACCAGCCACACUGGGACUGAGACACGGCCCAGACUCCUACGGGAGGCAGCAGUGGGGAAUUUUGGACAAUGGGGGCAACCCUGAUCCAGCCAUCCCGCGUGUGCGAUGAAGGCCUUCGGGUUGUAAAGCACUUUUGGCAGGGAAGAAACAGGUCUGGCGAAUAACUGGACUGAAUGACGGUACCUGCAGAAUAAGCACCGGCUAACUACGUGCCAGCAGCCGCGGUAAUACGUAGGGUGCAAGCGUUAAUCGGAAUUACUGGGCGUAAAGCGUGCGCAGGCGGUUCGGAAAGAAGGAUGUGAAAUCCCAGGGCUUAACCUUGGAAUGGCAUUCUUAACUGCCGGGCUAGAGUAUGUCAGAGGGGGGUAGAAUUCCACGUGUAGCAGUGAAAUGCGUAGAGAUGUGGAGGAAUACCGAUGGC